rnacentral:misc_RNA from 1 species
GAUGAAGAACGCAGUGAAAUGCGAUACGUAAUGUGAAUUGCAGAAUUCAGUGAAUCAUCGAAUCUUUGAACGCAUAUUGCGCUCUCUGGUAUUCCGGAGAGCAUGCUUGUUUGAGUAUCAGUAAACACCUCAACUUCCAUAUCUUUUUUGAAAUGGGAGUUGGACUUGAGUGAUCCCAACGCUUUUCCUCACCGAAAAGUGGCGGGUUACUUGAAAUGCAGGUGCAGCUGGACUUUUCUCUGAGCUAUAAGCAUAUCUAUUUAGUCUGCCUAAAAAACAGAUUAUUACCUUUGCUGCAGCUAACAUAAAGGAGAUUAGUUCUUGUGCUGACUGAUGCAGGAUUCACAAAGACAGGCUUCGGCCGACUUUGUAAACUCGAUCUCAAAUCAAGUAGACUACCCGCUGAACUUAAGCAUAUCAAUAAGCGGAGGA